rnacentral:rRNA from 1 species
CAGCAGCCGCGGGAAUACGUAGGUGGCAAGCGUUGUCCGGAAUUAUUGGGCGUAAAGGGCUCGCAGGCGGUUUCUUAAGUCUGAUGUGAAAGCCCCCGGCUCAACCGGGGAGGGUCAUUGGAAACUGGGAAACUUGAGUGCAGAAGAGGAGAGUGGAAUUCCACGUGUAGCGGUGAAAUGCGUAGAGAUGUGGAGGAACACCAGUGGCGAAGGCGACUCUCUGGUCUGUAACUGAUGCUGAGGAGCGAAAGCGUGGGGAGCGAACAGGACUAGAUACCCCCGUAGUCCCUGUCUCUUAUAC